rnacentral:misc_RNA from 1 species
GAUGAAGAACGUAGUGAAAUGCGAUACGUAGUGUGAAUUGCAGAAUCCAGUGAAUCAUCGAAUCUUUGAACGCACAUUGCGCCCGCCAGUAUUCUGGCGGGCAUGCCUGUCUGAGCGUCAUUUCAACCCUCAUGCCCCUAGGGCGUGGUGUUGGGGAUCGGCCAAAGCCCGCGAGGGACGGCCGGCCCCUAAAUCUAGUGGCGGACCCGUCGUGGCCUCCUCUGCGAAGUAGUGAUAUUCCGCAUCGGAGAGCGAUGAGCCCCUGCCGUUAAACCCCCAACUUUCCAAGGUUGACCUCAGAUCAGGUAGGAAUACCCGCUGAUCUUAAGCAUAUCAAUAAGCGGAGGA